UUUAUCGGAGAGUUUGAUCCUGGCUCAGGACGAACGCUGGCGGCGUGCCUAAUACAUGCAAGUCGAGCGGACAGACGGGAGCUUGCUCCCUGAUGUUAGCGGCGGACGGGUGAGUAACACGUGGGUAACCUGCCUGUAAGACUGGGAUAACUCCGGGAAACCGGGGCUAAUACCGGAUGGUUGUCUGAACCGCAUGGUUCAGACAUAAAAGGUGGCUUCGGCUACCACUUACAGAUGGACCCGCGGCGCAUUAGCUAGUUGGUGAGGUAACGGCUCACCAAGGCAACGAUGCGUAGCCGACCUGAGAGGG
rnacentral:rRNA from 1 species